AGGUCAUGGACAGGAGGACAGAGGAAGCAGUAUGAGGGUUUAGGUCAUGGACAGGAGGACAGAGGAAGCAGUAUGAGGGUUUAGGUCAUGGACAGGAGGACAGAGGAAGCAGUAUGAGGGUUUAGGUCAAGGACAGGAGGACAGAGGAAGCAGUAUGAGGGUUUAGGCUUUAGGUCAUGGACAGGAGGACAGAG